rnacentral:telomerase_RNA from 1 species
CAAAGGAGUAUCGUGUUUGUUGAUAAACGAAACUACGACCUAACCUAUUUGCCCUAAUGGGCAAUGCCGGAGGCCCACGACGGCUAUAUAAAUAAAAGAGGGUGUUUCUGAAACACGAUACAUAAUUUUUGUU